CCCCCCGCCUGGCUCACCGUGGCCCUCGUGCCGGGCUCCGUGGAAUCCAGACCCCACUGAGUGGAGCCCCGGCUGCUGGUGGGCGUGCACGAGGCCUUCCCGAAGGACAGCAAGGGUCCCCGGUACCUCCUCACACACUUCUGCUCACCUGUCAGGGCCCAAACGGUGUCACAGCCUCCCUCACACAGUGACCUAAGGGGCAGGGGAGGGGAAUCCUUUAGGGAGAGACCUUGGAGGGACAGAGAGGAAGGGAUAGAUGGCCGUGGCCGUCGGGGAGGAGGGGACCCAGUCAGGGAGGGCUGGCACCCCAAAAGGGAAGACCUGGCCAAGCAAAGUGACACAGACAUGGAAGGAAAGGGGGGGAGAGGGGCAAAGCAGGGCGCAGGGCCACCGUGGAUGAUGGGGCAGGGGGAGCCCAGGGAUAAAGGGGCUGCCAGCUACAGUAGCUGCCUGGAGGGGGUGGAAGCUGGGGCCAUAUGACAGGAGACAGGCUGCUACGGUUCCUGGCUCUCCUCCCCUGCGCCCCGGGGAUGGUGAUGCAGCCAAUGUCUCCUGGGCUCGUGGGCCGGAGGCAGCCCGGGGCCACCAGGGAGGGGACGUGAGCCAGGACGUGGCGUGAAAGGGAAGAGGGCCCCUCCCCAGAGUCUGGGUGAAACCAGCGAGCAGAAGUCCCCAGGGGCCCUGGCUCCCAGAAUCCGGCAGCUGGCUGGCGUCUGGGCUGCAGGAGGCUCAGGGCCACAGUUAGCAUGUCUGUGGGACUCAGCUCGUGCGCAGGUGCCCAGCAAGCACGCGCCUGACGCAUAUGCCCUUCGAACGUCUCGAUUCUUCCAUCUUGACGGCUCUCCCCUACAUUUUAAGUUGACGUUUGACUUCUCUACUGUGCCUGAGUGUUUGUGAGCCCCAGAACUCCGGGUGGGGUCCCAGGCCCCCCAGCCGCGCUCCCCUCACUCAGCAGGGCGCGGGGGACGGGGGUGGGGGGCCGGGACCAGGGCUGUCCCCCGUGUGUAUCCCCAUGUCACCGGCUCUCCUAACACCCACGGCUGCGGUGGGAUUUUUAACGACCGUUUUCCUCAGUGUAAUUAAGUAGAAUUUCAUGUACAAUAUUAAAAUAAAAUGUAGGGGUUAAA